rnacentral:lncRNA from 1 species
UUUGUGAAUCUCCUACUUAAUGUUUCAUAGUUAUUAGAUAGUUUCAGCUUAUCUUUGAUAAGAGACUGAUUUUCAUCUUUUAGAACUUUAUUUUUAUUGAUUAGUUUUUUGUGUUCUUCCAUGAGUUCUAAAAAUGCAUCAUGUAAUUCUUCAACAGUAAAAUCACACUCAAGUUCAGAAUCUACCUCAUCGUCAUUAGCCAUA